AGAGUUUGAUCCUGGCUCAGAACGAACGCUGGCGGCGUGGAUAAGACAUGCAAGUCGAACGCUGAUUAGAGGGUAGCAAUAUUCUCUAGUCGGAGUGGCGCAAGGGUGCGUAACACGUGGGUAAUCUGCCGUGAAGCCUGGGAUAACUCGCUGAAAGGCGAGCUAAUACCGGAUGAGACUGUUGGGAGGCAUCUCUCGACAUUGGAAGCUGGGGACCGCAAGGCCUGGCACUUCACGAUGAGCCCGCGGCCUAUCAGCUAGUUGGUGAGGUAACGGCCCACCAAGGCUAAGACGGGUAGCUGGUCUGAGAGGACGACCAGCCACACUGGAACUGAGACACGGUCCAGACACCUACGGGUGGCAGCAGUCGAGAAUUUUUCACAAUGGGCGCAAGCCUGAUGGAGCGACGCCGCGUGGGGGAUGAAGGGUUUCGAUCCGUAAACCCCUGUCAUUUGCGAACAAACCUUAACCGAUAACACCGGUUAAGCUGAUUGUAGUGAAAGAGGAAGGGACGGCUAACUCUGUGCCAGCAGCCGCGGUAAUACAGAGGUCCCAAGCGUUGUUCGGAUUCACUGGGCGUAAAGGGUGCGUAGGUGGCCGGGAAAGUUCGAUGUGAAAGCUCGGAGCUCAACUUCGAAAUGGCAUUGAAUACUAUUCGGCUUGAGGGUCGGAGGGGAGACUGGAAUUCUCGGUGUAGCAGUGAAAUGCGUAGACAUCGAGAGGAACACCAGUGGCGAAGGCGAGUCUCUGGACGACACCUGACACUGAGGCACGAAAGCUAGGGGAGCAAACAGGAUUAGAUACCCUGGUAGUCCUAGCUGUAAACGGUGCACGUUUGCUGUAAGGGGAAUCGACCCCCUUUGUGGCGAAGCUAACGCGAUAAACGUGCCGCCUGGGGAGUACGGUCGCAAGAUUAAAACUCAAAGGAAUUGACGG
rnacentral:rRNA from 1 species